UCUGUGGUUCAGGGUAGGGGGGAAGCCUACACUCAUCUCACCCCCCCCCUUCCCACUGAAAGAGGAAUCACUCUUCUCGUCCUAGGUGCUCCAGAGGACCAAACAAUCGGUGUCUGUCAAAGGGACAGCACAGGGAGAUCAGGGCCCGUGGCAGAGGUGGUUCUGGUGGCCAUUGUGGAAGUGACUGUGAAGACCCUGCUCCUCCUCCUCAUCUUACUCAUAAUGAGUUCCUACAGGAGGAAGGUGGUGAGGCCUGCUGGGGGCAUGGAGGAUGCAAACACCAUCCUAGGUUAACCCCUCAGGUAAGCGAAGUGGGUGUCUCACCAUCCAGUAUCCCAUCGCACACCUCCCCAAGAUUGGCCCCCAGGAUUGCUACACUCAGCAUGGACAAAGUGGAGCUUCCAGUUUCCUCCCUAAACCAAUUUCUCUGCUAGGUUCCCCAUCACAAUCAUGAAACCAUGGCCCCAUUGCUAAGGCCAGAAUUGGGGUGUGGUUCUCCGCUGUACCUCCUUCCUUUCUCCCCG
rnacentral:lncRNA from 1 species